AUUGAACGCUGGCGGCAGGCCUAACACAUGCAAGUCGAACGGUAACAGGAAGCAGCUUGCUGCUUUGCUGACGAGUGGCGGACGGAUGAGUAAUGUCUGGGAAACUGCCUGAUGGAGGGGGAUAACUACUGGAAACGGUAGCUAAUACCGCAUAACGUCGCAAGACCAAAGAGGGGGACCUUCGGGCCUCUUGCCAUCGGAUGUGCCCAGAUGGGAUUAGCUAGUAGGUGGGGUAAAGGCUCACCUAGUCGACGAUCCCUAGCUGGUCUGAGAGGAUGACCAGCCACACUGGAACUGAGACACGGUCCAGACUCCUACGGGAGGCAGCAGUGGGGAAUAUUGCACAAUGGGCGCAAGCCUGAUGCAGCCAUGCCGCGUGUAUGAAGAAGGCCUUCGGGUUGUAAAGUACUUUCAGCGGGGAGGAAGGGAGUAAAGUUAAUACCUUUGCUCAUUGACGUUACCCGCAGAAGAAGCACCGGCUAACUCCGUG
rnacentral:rRNA from 1 species